UAACCACACUCUGACACUCGCGAUACUUGCAGAUACUUAAUACCACAGCAUACACGCGGCUCAAAUUAGCGUGUACCAAAAAAACCCAGUCAUAGUACACGCUAAAUAAUGACAUCACUGACUUGAUGACGUUUAAGCGUGUACCUAACUUUUUUAUUUGCGUACACGUUAGCGUGUACCUAGACACAGCGUUGUUUCUUAUUAAAUUUGACAAAUUUGACACCUAAUUUGACAAAUUUGUCCUUCAAACUAUCUAGGAAGCAUGAUUUGAGUUUCCACUAGACUUGUGUUAUGGACGGAUUUUACGGGCUGUGAUUGGUCGUAUUCAAAUCAAUGACAUAUUUGAUGAUGACAUUUAAAAGAAAUACGUAACCCUGUUUUCUCGUUUGUUUUUGUUUAUGCAGUGUGUUUAUGUUAUACAAAAGAAAAAUAUUGAUAUUUUAGUUAUUAAUCUUGGUUUUGAGACUAUUUUAUACGUUUAUACUUGUUUAUUGUAUUCAUUUUUAAACAGCCAUAUUAUUUCCAGCAAAAGUUAUGGAACGUUUACAGAUACAUAGUAAUAUUUAUAAAAAAAAAAACAAAUUACUUUCUGCUUGCUUCCUAUAUUUUGUAAAUUUUUAAAGCUUCCUCCCAGACUCAUUUGAGUAUAAGGUGGUUAAUUUUUCCGAAAUAAAUGGAAGGGAUGGCGCAUUUAAUGCAGUGAUUUGAGCUAAUAUAACAACACAAGAAGAUGCUCAAAAUUGUCAAAAAGAAUAUGAAAAUGUUAAUAAAGUAAAUUUUAGAGUUCUAAGAACUUAUCCAAAUGAUUCUAUGAAGCUUGUUUUCAAGAAAGACUAUCGAUGCCAUCGCAAUACUCAGGCUAAUUUGCCUUCAUCAAAGACAAAAAAUCCGUCAUCUAAACAUGUUAACUGUCAGGCAUUCUUAAGAAUUACAGUGAAACAAUCAAGUAUGAAAAGGUAAAGUCUAUUUGCUAAUCUGAGACACAACUACUGUCUAGUGACGUUGGUAAUUUUUUUUGAGAAGUUGGUUGCUAGACGUAACUGGAAAAGACUACACAACCAAACAUAACUACUCAUAGCCAAUAUUAUUAUUAACAGUAAACAGGCAUAAAUAACAUAACAUACACCAAUCAAUAAUUAUUUAUUUACACCUUUAUAAUGUAUUGAUAACAGAUGAGAGAAGCAUUUAUUGUACAAAAUAAAAAUAUUUUAUAGAAAUAAAUUCCACAAAAUUUUA